rnacentral:rRNA from 1 species
AUUGAACGCUGGCGGCAGGCCUAACACAUGCAAGUCGAGCGGCAGCGGAAGGAAGCUUGCUUCCUUGCCGGCGAGCGGCGGACGGGUGAGUAAGGUAUGGGGAUCUGGCCGAAGGCGGGGGAUAGCCACUGGAAACGGUGGCUAAUACCGCAUAAUCUCUAAGGAGCAAAGUGGGGGACCGUUCAGGCCUCACACCUUCGGAUGAACCCAUAUGAGAUUAGCUAGUAGGUGGGGUAAUGGCUCACCUAGGCGACGAUCUCUAGCUGGUCUGAGAGGAUGAUCAGCCACACGGGGACUGAGACACGGCCCAGACUCCUACGGGAGGCAGCAGUGGGGAAUAUUGCACAAUGGGCGCAAGCCUGAUGCAGCCAUGCCGCGUGUAUGAAGAAGGCCUUCGGGUUGUAAAGUACUUUCAGUCGUGAGGAAGGUGUUAAGGUUAAUAACCUUAGCAAUUGACGUUAGCGACAGAAGAAGCACCGGCUAACUCCGUGCCAGCCGCCGCCGUAA